AAUGGCCCUGGUGACUUCUUACCUGAUUCAUCCCACACCAGUCAGAAGGGGCUGUGAAGGCAGCAGCGAAGGAGCCACACAUGGACGUGGAAUGGGCACGCUGACCAUCAUGGUCACGACUGCAAGAAAGCAGGGCUGCGUGGGUUAAUUGGCUGUGUCUGAGGGUCACCCCUGCACAAGGAGGAUGAUGACGACUGCCCUGUGCAACCCUGGGUCAUCUCAGGGGAGAGCCAUUCCCAGGUUCACAGCAAGCACUCUUUUACUCAGAUGGGCCACCUGCAUCAGGCCCCAAGGAAGCACUUAUUAGUAGAAG
ensembl:lncRNA novel transcript